UUAAUCUAAAAUAAAAAACAUAAACUUAUAGUAGGUUAUUAAUAACGAAAAUAAACUAAAUUUGUCAUGUCAAUAAGUUUUUUUAUUAUCAUUUUUAUAUGGAUAAUAUAAUAAAAUUUCAUCAAAUUCUAAGGAAUCACUAACUUAUGUAAUAUUAAAAAAAUAUAUGAGUAAUUUAAUCAAUUUUUUUUAAAAAAACUAUCAUAUAUUUUGUGUUUUAUCGGAUCAAUGGUAUUAGAUUGAAGGUUAAUAGUGAGUUUUUUUGGUUUUUACCGAGUUAUUUUUAAUUAACGAAUUUUUCAUUAAAUCUGAACCGGAUUAUAUACAAUGUAUCGGGUCUAUAGGUUCAACCAUGAAUCUAGGUCGGAUAUGAAAACAAAUCUUAAAACUCAAAUAUUGUUAUAGAACAACUAUCAUAUUUCGAGAAAAUUCCAUAGUUUGAAAAAAAAAAACAAAUGAUAAAAACCUAAAAACUCAAGUUCGAAACAAAAAUAAUGGUAGUUUGUAAUCAGUUUUUGAUCAAUAAAUGGAAAAAAAAAAUCAAAACCGCGCUUUUUAAGUGCGGGUCAAAAUCUAGUUAGUUUUUAAAAUUUCGUCUUCUCAUUUUAAAACACAAAUUAUUUUUUAAUAAAUGUUAAUGUAUUUCAAUAAGUAUUCCUUCUAUAAUUAUGUAUCUUUUCAGAUGUAAUAGAGUGGUUUUGUAAUUAUAUGUCUAUGCAUAAUAUUACAUUCCUACAAUGUUUAUUAUAUUACAUCCGUUUUUUAAAAAUUAAAAUUGUGUCUUCUCAUUUUAUCAAUGAUGAUGCUUUUAUACAUUCCUACAAUGUUUGUUAUAUUACAUCCGUUUCUCUCAUGAGAUGAUGCAGGUGAUGUGAAGAAACUAUCUUGUCCAUUUUCUUGUAAAAAAGUGGAUGGAGAAUUGUUAACAACAUUAAUAUUCUUUUAUUCUUUCUCUGGUAAGUGUUCUUCGACAAAAGUCAGUUGACUUACUUUAACUUUACAAGAUUUCGGUGUGUGUAUGUGAACGUGUACGUACUAUGAACAUUUGAGUGUUUCUUAUCUUCAAAUCUUCUACUUCUGGUUUUUGAUUGCACAUGGAUUUUCCAUCACCACUUUUAAGUCAAUUUCUAGAUAUAAUGAUUUUUUUUGAACUUUAGAUAUACAUGAUUUCUUCCAAAUUGGUAUAGGUGUAUAUUUUUUUCUAUGUUUUACCUAUAUGCUAUUUAUGAUUGAUGAUUACAUGUGUUGUAUUUUCUAAAAUUGUACUUUUAGUUUAAUAUUGUUGAUUGUGCAACAAGAGCUAUUAAACUGAAUUAAAAGAACAAGUUUAAACCACAAAAUGUUGAUAUCAUAAAUUUUUCAAGUUUGAUCACCGAGGCUUGAAUUCGUAGAAUAUUUGUCUAAGUUUUGUUUACUAUUUACCAAACAAAAUGUAACCAAUUAUAAAUGAAAUUAAAUAGAAUUAUGAUCCAUUUAAACAAAUUAAGAGUGAAGAAAAAAAAAUUAAUGCAGAUUAUCUGUUGAUUUGAGGUAGAUGCUAAACCUCCACUUGACAAAGAGUGUUUUGGAAACGAAAAGUAAAAUAGAGCUCGAAAAAAGGGAACAAGAGCUUGGCUGUCCCUACAUCUCAUGGAGCAAUCCAGUAUAGACCCGUUAUAAAACAUGGAAAUUUUCUAACUUUAUUUAAUUGAGAUAGUAUGUAAAAGACCAUAAAACCGUAGGAAAGUUGGGUUAUUUAUGAGAUAUACCUAAUUGUACAGAAUUCAAACUGCGACCCAAUUCAAACCUAAACCGUAAAUCAUUUUUAAACCGAAGAAAACCCAGACCGAUUCCACCCAGACCUAAUUAAUGAAACCCUAAUUUCGGAUUUAACAAAAUCAAACCGUUGAAGAAAAAAUUAUGUUCCUGUUCCCUUUCGAAAUCGGUCCUCGAAAUCUCCUCUCUUUCCUUUCUUGGUCGCUUCGUGUGUGUGAAUCGAUAGAGUGAAAAGAAAUGACGGAGACGCCGGAAGAGGGGCUGCAAGGGGGACCAACAACGGCGACGGAGACAGAUAGGAUCCUCUCGGAGCCGAUAAGUGUCCUCGUCGAAGCUGCAGUGGCAGUUACAUCUAGGGAGGAGAAUGACGGUGAGGAUGAUGUCCCUGAGGAUAAAGGUUCAGAAAGUGUAGUGGAAGGAUAUAAGGAUGGGGACAAGGAGGAGGAGGAGGACAACGACGACGACUAGGUAACAAUUUAGGAGAAUUUCCAAUUUAGGAUUGUAUUUUGAAAUUCUUUGAAUUUUGAAUCGUAGGUUUUGUUUGAAUUUGUAAUGUUUUGGUGAAGGAAAGAAAAAGAAAAUCAUGUGUAGAACUAGAAAUAUGAAUUAUGGUAAUGAUGUGUAGAACUAGGAAUUAUGGUAUAACUAUAGUAAUACUAGUACCACUCGGUGAAACAUUGAGCAAUUAGUAAAAUUAGUAAUAUGUAGGUAUACUAAGGAAUACUAUACUAAUUUUGGAAAAACUAUUUGGUAUUACUGGUAUAACUGACGUAGAAGUAAAUGUAACUUGCAGGAAUUUGAGCCCAUCGAAGCAAUCAAAGAAGUGUGGUUCAUUGUCGAUAGUGUUCUCAUUCGUUUGUGAAGGAAUGGCAGAAGGGAUCAAAUAGAAAGAGAAGAAAGGAACCCGGAGUUGUUUUGUUGAUGUUUCAUGGGAACUGUUUCAUGUCGGAUUAUUUUGCAAAACUCUAUGUUUUUCGGUUUGUAGAAAUUUGAAACUAUCAUUUUCUGGAUGUUACAAAUUCAAUUUCAAUAUCAUUUUCGGGAUGUUGCAAUUUCAUGAGAUCAUUUUGCAAUUUCAAUUUCAUGUUAUCGUCAACCAUAAAAUAAAUAAACGAAAGUUUGGAGUUUUACAAGUCUUAGACAAACCACAAAAUAAAGACUUGUAAGCCGAUCCGCCGAAACAAAGAAACGGAAAACAGACAGUAAAAGACCAACCAGAAAUGAGGAAAAGACCAACAAUCCAAAACACUUAAACAUAGAAUUCUUCAAAUUUUCUAACAAUCUCAUCGUCAUUAUCGUCAUCCACUGUCUCUUUGUUCUCCAAAUUGUUUUUCAUUUCUGAAAUGGUUAUAAUUAAUUGCUCAAUCACUCUGGUCUUCUGCCUGAUCUCAUCCUGGGCUUCAAUCAAAGCUCUUCUUUGCCAUUUCGUACCUUCCUCUUCAUCAACCAAAGAGAAGUAAUUGCAUUCAUCUCCAAGCUGCCACAAGAUCCAAAUUUGUUUUUAAAUAUAUAUUCAACAUCUAAAGUUCAAUUAUCAUAUCAUAUCUCAUAUCCUAAAAUGCGGACAGCUAUAAAAUCGUUGACCAUAGUUUUUGUCAGUCCAAGCUUGCAUUAUAUUCGCCGGUAAGCCACAAAAACACAAUCUCCAACCAUAAUUCCGUCUCCUCCUUGACGAACCCGAACCCACGUCCAUCUUCGAUUUUUCCACCUUUACAUUUUCCAUCUUCACUUUUUCAAUCUGAGAAGAGAAGAAAAGAGAUAGAGAGAUCAAACUAUUCUGAGAGAGAGAGAGAGAGAGAGAGAGAGAGAGAGAGAGAGAGAGAGAGAGAGAGAGAGAGAGAGAGAGAGAGAGAGAGAGAGAGAGAGAGAGAGAGAGAGAUAUCAAAAGGAAUAGAGAGAAUUGAAAUAGAUAAUUGGAAGAGGAAGAGGGAAGGUGUUGUUUCAGAUGUAAUAGAAGAGAGAGAUAAUUGGUGUUGGUAAAUGGAAGAUUCGGGAAAUAUACCGGUUUGACUCUUGAAAUGAAGGAAGAGAAAAUGGAUAAGAAAAAGUGAGAGGAUGUUGUGUGGUUGAGAUGAGAAUUCCUUAGAGAGAGAGAGAGAGAGAGAGAGAGAGAGAGAGAGAGAGAGAGAGAGAGAGAGAGAGAGAGAGAGAGAGAGAGAGAGAGAGUUUAUGAGGAGAGGGAGAUGGAUAAGAAAAAGUGAAGGUUCCAACUGAGAUGAGAAAUUUCUUUUGUUCUUUUUUUAUUGUUUAGGCGCCAAAAUUGUUUUUCAUUUCCCUCCUAAAUUUUGUUCUUAGUUAUACAGAAGAUAGUAGUGUUACGAAAUUUGGUCAUAGUUCUACUUUUGGUGGUUUCUAAUUUAUUUAGUGUUACUAAUUUUUUUAACUUAUUUUUUUUAUUUUACUUUCGAGUUUAGUACUUAAAAAUGUAAUUUAUAUUGUUCUGUACAAUAAUGUAGGUUUAAUAGAUAUAACUCGAAAAUUUCCUUUGUAAGAAGUUCUUCAUUGAGAAAGUGUGAUUGAUAUUACAAGGUUUUAUAAUGCACAUAUUACGAGUUUCCAAAAUUUUGCAAAAACAUUUGUCAUGUUUGUAAGAAUUAUAAGUUAGAGUAUAGAAAUUAAAUGGAAAGUUAUGAUAACCGAGUUUUGAUAUAGAUAAUACUAAUGUCAUUACAAAACAAAGGAACAAAACAAAGUAGAUAACCAAGUUUUACUCAGUUUUUCCAAAGCAUACAACACAAAAUAAACAGAUAAUAGAGCUAAAAUGCAUUACUCCUAAUUCAUCCAAAUAACUAACUUUUAAUUCUUUUCCUUCCCUUCUGUGUGAUGCGAUCUGGAGGCAUGAUCUUCACCUCCUUGAUCUGAUCCGGUACAUUAAAAGAAGACAUGUCGGACACAACAUAAAUUUUCCUGGAAUACGCCAAAGCCCACAGUUCCGUUCAGUAGUAUUUUGAGCACAGCUCACAGAUAUUAAGGCGGCUUCCAUCAACGUUCUUAGUGAAAUAUAUGUAAGCUGCCAGUCCGUGCAGACAAGAAAACUUUUCAUAAUCCCACACCUUGCAAGUACAAGAUUUUCCAACCAAGGUCGCCCAAAACGUCUUUCCUGCAGUGUCAGUGAUCUCGUACUUAAGCUCAUAACUAUCAAACUCCCACACAGAUAGCUGUUGUGCAACAGCCAUAGAUCGUGCAAGUAGUUCUCAACCAGAGGCACCAGUCUUGUAUCGAUUGAUCUAGAAACAUCAUCCUUCCGUUGAUUGAACCAAUCAGAGAAUUUCCUAAUGAUACAAUCCAAAAUUGGUAUUAAGGCCCACCUCGUUGCCUCUUUAAACACGUUCUAUAUUGAUUCCACAUUGUUGCAUGUAUCCAAGUUGUACCUCUCACGUGGGAAAAAAACUGUUGCCCAUUUGUCCUUUUCAGUAUGUUUCUCCACAUACUUGUACGCAGCAGGAUAUCUUAUCUUAAAUGAGUCAUAAGCAGAGUUGAACUAGUCACCCACCAUGUAAUAUCUGCCCAACUCCAUAAAUCUAUGCCGACUAUAUUCUUGUUGACGUUACAAGCAUGCCAUUUCACAUUUUCCAUCAAAUGCCAUAAACAAUGACCACGGUGAUCAUGUGGAAACACAUUUCCUAUAGCGAGGAUCAGGCUCUGAUUUCUUUCACUCAUGAUAACCAGUUCAGAAAAUUCUGGUAUAACACUUUUAAGCAUCUCGAAAAACCAAGUCCAACUAACAAGAUUCUCACCAUCUACUACUGCAAAUGCAAGUGGAUAACUGUGACCAUUAGGAUCUUGAGCUUUCACGAAGACUAGAACACCACCAUAUAUGUUUUUCAGCCAUGUCGCAUCCACAGCUAUCACUUUCCUCAUAACUGCGAUCUCUUUGUUGUUCCGAGUUAGACAGUUAUACUACAAUUAUCAAGAACAAAUUGAAUUAGGUUUAAGGUGCGCAAGAUUGAUCUAGGUCUAAUUCUACUGCCUAUACACUCUCAUUCCACCACUGAAAUGCAUUAUAUACCAAUUUUCUUUACAAAUCAACCCCUAAACAAAACAAGGCCGUUGUGCAUUUCAAUUGCAAAUCCAUUAAAACCUACUUCCCAAAGAAACCUCAAAACGGAGACCACAAGCUACUUCUGAUUGGUCUACGCCGACAGACGGUGGUGAUGGAGAAGCUGCGGGAGAGAGGAGUGGAGGUUCAGGAGGAGAAGCUGAGCUGCGGGAGAGCUUCCAGAGCCGAGGGAGUGGAGGUGAGCGGGGAAAGUGGAGGUGAGCAGGGAAAGUGGAGCUGGGAACGAAGAACUGCGGUUACGCUCUUUUUUUUUGCCAGGUUUUAUUUUUUAUUUUAUUGAUAAAGUCAAAACCGAUUUUUAAUAAAACCUUAAACCAAUCCAACCAAACCGAAAAUUCAAUUUAUGUUUUAUCUAAUUUUUUUUAUUAAAUAAGAGGAUAAUUUCUUCAAUCACCACUUCAUUAAAUAAUUGGGGGUAUAGGAGAUUUCAGGAGGGCAUAGGCGAUUUCUCCAUGAGAUCAAGCGGCAGGCAAGCCAUUGUUCCGAGAAAAUGAUAGAAAGAAAAAGAUUCUUCUUGCUAUCCUCUUGCGUCCUCUUCGCGUCUUUCUCAGAUAUGGUUGCCGGGUUGAGUUUUGGAUAUGUUUGGUUUUGACGCUGCUUGGGUAUCUUCAUGGUAUCCUCUACGCCCUUUAUGUCCUUACCAAAUGAUCAUUUCUCCUGCCUAUCACGGACUGCUUUCUCCUGAACUGGAACACGCGACCUUAAUACUCCAUCCGUUUCUAAACAAGUGUCACUUUGACACUUUUCACACGGAAUAAGAAAAUAACUGAAAUAUAUGUAAGUUGUUAUUAAUUACAUCUUUCUGACCAAUAGUAUUUGAGAUAAAUAAAAUUAUUUAUAAAACCAAUGCACUUUGCAAUUAAUUUUCAGCUGAAAGUAAGUAUAAUUUACAUUGGAAUUGUAAAGUGACGUUUUUUGUGUAACAA